rnacentral:rRNA from 1 species
GACGAACGCUUGCGGCGUGCCUAAGAAAUGCAAGUCGAGCGAGGUCUAGAAGCUUGCUUCGAAAACCUAGCGGCGAACGGUCGCGUAACACGUAAGCAACCUGCCCUAAAGUUGGGGAUAGCCCACCGAAAGGUGGAUUAAUACCGAAUGUGGAUGCCUUUUCUCCUGAUUAGGUAUCUAAAGCAGCAAUGCGCUUUAGGAUGGGCUUGCGGCCUAUCAGCUAGUUGGUAAGGGUAACGGCCUACCAAGGCGACGACGGGUAGCUGGUCUGAGAGGAUGGUCAGCCGGACUGGGACUGAGAUACGGCCCAGACUCCGUACGGGGGGCAGCAAUUAGGAAUCUUGUACAAUGGGCGAAAGCCUGAUGCAGCGACGCCGCGUGACUGAUGAAGUCCUUCGGGAUAGUAAAAGUUCUUUUCUGGGGGAAGAAGGAUGUGACGGUACCCCAGGAAUAAGCCCCGGCUAACUACGUG